AGGUGGGGAGACAGCAGAGAUGCCCGACAUGUACCCCCCUGGAGAGUAUGAUCUUGCCGGAUUUGCUGUUGGUGCUAUGGAGAGACACCAGAAGCUCCCUCAGCUAGAAAGGAUCGCCGAAGGAGAUGCCGUUAUUGGAGUGGCUUCAUCUGGUCUUCACAGCAAUGGCUUUAGCCUUGUGAGGAAAAUUGUGGAGAGGUCUUCACUCCAGUACUCCUCUCCAGCACCGGGUGGUUGUGGAGAUCAGACUUUAGGUAAACGGACUCUUGCU
rnacentral:lncRNA from 1 species